rnacentral:rRNA from 1 species
UACGUAGGGAGCGAGCGUUGUCCGGAUUCAUUGGGCGUAAAGAGCUCGUAGGCGGCUUGAUAAGUCGGAUGUGAAACCUCCAGGCUCAACCUGGAGUCGCCAUCCGAUACUGUCAUGGCUAGAGUCCGGUAGGGGCCCACGGAACUCCUGGUGUAGCGGUGAAAUGCGCAGAUAUCAGGAAGAACACCGGUGGCGAAGGCGGGUCUCUGGGCCGUAACUGACGCUGGAGGAGCGAAAGCGUGGGGAGCGAACAGG